ensembl:lncRNA
AAAUGAAUCUUAAAUUUUUCGGAAGCUAAACUAAAAAAGAAAAUUAAAUAUUCUAAGAUGGCCCAUGACAGUUGGUAGAUUGUUUUCAUUCAUUUGUUCAUUCAACAGAUGUUGAUUAAAUACUUAUUUUGUCAAUUCCUCCUAGGCACUGAUGGUACAGCACUAAAAGACAUGCUAUUUUUUUUGCUGGAGGAAGCUUACCUCCUAAUUGAAUGCUCAUUGGAUACUGAGACAAGAAAACAUACCAGUUCAAUAGUGUUGGAACGUGUGAUGGGGCUUCCCUGGUGGCGCAGUCGUUGAGAGUCCGCCUGCCGAUGCAGGGGACACGGGUUCGUGCUCCGUUCCGGGGGGAUCCCACAUACCGCGGAGCGGCUGGGCCCGUGAGCCAUGGCUGCUGAGCCUGUGCAUCCGGAGCCUGUGCUCCGCAACGGGAGAAGCCACAGCAGUGAGAGGCCCGCGUACCGCAAAAAAACAAAAACAAAAACAAAAACGUGUGAUGUUAUCUAAGACACCGGUUGCCCAGCCAGUAGACUGAUUGCCAAGGCAUCUUCACUGUGAGAAAAAAAAAAAAAAAGGUUGGGGGUGUAUAGCAUAACUCUGGGACAAAGUGCAGAGAUUUAGCCAAGCCCUCAUUUUUGCAAAGCUGAAGAUCAACUUUUGGGGGACAAUUCCUGGUAUUUGCUAUCAGCCUCUACUCCCCGGUUCUUCCUUCCCAAUCCUGCAUUUGAGGCCGCCUGUGGUACCAGGGAAGUGAAUUCUACCCUCCCCAGGGUAGGAGCAGGGAAGCCAGGUGCAGCCCAUUCUGUUCACCUGGCCACAGUCACGGAUGCCGGGCUGCACGUGGGAGCUAGGCUGGUUCCUGGAGCGAACCUCGGGCGCUGCACUUGGAAUGCUGGGACAGAGGCUUCCUUCAUGCUGGGCUGCGUGGUAGCGGCAGCACCUGGAACAGCAGUGGUGAUUUUUGCCACCAAUAGGGCAUGCCACCCUGGGGCCAGUACUAGUGCAGAGGAGGCCAGAUUGAGAGAAUUGAAUGGAGAGAGCGGUGAAGCCCCAAAAGAUGGUGAACCUCAGAAUCAAAUUGCACCUGAAUCCUGCCAUGUUUCUGGACUCGUCCAUGAAUUAACAACUUUUGAUGGUAACUGCAAGAAAAGGAGAGAUGGGAAUUGUAUAACUUCUAAUUCAGUACUGUCAGUGAAAUUCAUAACAAAUCCAUUCAUGUGUAAUGUGCUAAAGCAGUGCCUGGCACACCGUUACUGGCAAAUAAGUGUCCUCAAGAGCACCUUUCUUCCCCCUUCCAAACAUGUAUGUUCCAUGUGACGAGGGCCAUAUAUGAGUCUUGUUGGUUAUUUCAUCCUAAUUAUCUAACACAAUGGGUCGGUGUUGAGUAGACUCAGUAAAAUGUUGGCUGAAUGAAUGACUCCUGCAGGGCUGAGGUGUAUUCAGAUGUGUUAACUGGUACCAUCUCUUUUUUCUUUAAAAUUUCAGUCACCUAACGUAGUGACAAGGUACGAGGUAAUUGAGCAGGUAUUGAAAGCCUUCACCUUCUCAUGGAAGUGGGUUUCACAGCAGGUGCCAAGCAUACUCCUGCAACAAAUAUUUUGUUUACUUCCCAAAUGCUUAAAAUAUACUGAAAAUAUGGUGUUCUGUUAUCUUUAAUGGUCAUUUUACAUAAUUUCCUUCUCUUCUUUGUUCAUUCCUUCUCUCC